UCCUGUUUCUCCACAUCCUUGCCAGCAUUUGGCGAUGUCAGUGCUUUGGAUUUUGGCCAUUCUACCAGAUCAAGGUGCCAGCAGAUUCAGCGUCUGUUGAAGACGGUCUUUUUGAUUUGCACAUGGCCUCCUUCUGUAUCCUCACGUGGCGGAGAGAGAUCGUCGUCUUCUGAUCAGAUCUUCUGAUCACACAUUGGAGAUUAGAGCUUCAACAUGUAACUCUGGUGGGCGGGAGGGAUCAACAUUAAUAGCAACAGGCUCCUCCAUACCUCUCCAACUGAAUUGUCCAUCUCUUCCUGAAGAAGACCUACUUCAUAGGCCAGGAAUUUCAAACACGAAUUACCAUGCUCAUUUCUA